CCUACGGGUGGCAGCAGUGGGGAAUAUUGCACAAUGGGGGAAACCCUGAUGCAGCGACGCCGCGUGAGUGAAGAAGUAUUUCGGUAUGUAAAGCUCUAUCAGCAGGGAAGAAAUAGCGACCUCUUGGUCGCCAGACGGUACCUGACUAAGAUGCCCCGGCUAACUACGUGCCAGCAGCCGCGGGAAUACGUAGGGGGCGAGCGUUAUCCGGAUUUAUUGGGUGUAAAGGGAGGGUAGACGGGAGCACAAGUCUGAAGUGAAAGGCCGGGGCUUAACCCCGGAACUGCAUUUGAAACUGUGGAGCUAGAGUGCAGGAGAGGUAGGUGGAAUUCGUAGUGUAGCGGUGAAAUGCGUAGAUAUUAGGAAGAACACCAGUGGCGAAGGCGGCUUACUGGACUGUAACUGACGUUGAGGCUCGAAAGCGUGGGGAGCAAACAGGAUUAGAUACCCUAGUAGUC
rnacentral:rRNA from 1 species